GGAGACUCUAAGACUUCUGAAGAGUUUCUUGCUUCUUUCCUGUGGGGCAGUGACUCCACUUCCCAGCAGUAAUGGAAUAUCCUGAAUUAGCUACAUUAAUGUUAGAACCAUUUGGACCUCACCCAGGACUUCAACUACAUUAUGCUAAAGUUACAGAACCCAAAUUUGGCAACUGUCUGCAUCUGAACAACAGAAGUUUCAACAUUCUGCCAACAGAGUAACUCCUGGACGAUUGGCACAGAAGAAGGCACAAGGCAAAUACCCAUCUCUGUACACCCUGUGCUACUGUGUCAUGUGCUGCUCCAGGCAACUCCAAUGGAUUGGCCACCCUGGCCAAUGUGUGAGUUAUAAAGCAAUGAUGUGUAGCUAUUGAACCUACAAUUUGGUUAAAGUUAAACUCUCAAGUUUUAUAUGUUUACAAGCAUAUUGUCCUUUUGUUAAUUUCCUCCCAGUACUCAUUUCUUGACUUCUUUUAGUUUUACUAUGUAGUAAUUUUUAAAAUGUUAGUCAAAGUUAGUUAAUUUAAUUCACUUAGCAGAUUUUCCUGUAAUUUUGGUUAAACAGUAUCCUUUCUGUACAGGCCCUCCAAACACCAGCACUGAGUAGAAAGAGGCUCUGAUUCAUGAAAUGUGAAUUUAUGACAGUUGCCACUCUUAAAAAAAAAAACAAACAGACAGAACUUGAGCAAUACAUGACUGAUGCAUUCUCAGCCU
rnacentral:lncRNA from 1 species